rnacentral:lncRNA from 1 species
AUCUUGGAAGAUGCUGAAUUUUAAGUAACUGUGGCAGAUGUCCACGUUCUGGCAUUCUAGGGGCGUAUUUCAACCAGCUGAUGAAAUUACAAAGAGCAUGCAUAUGAGUCACACGGUCAGAGGACAUUGGUGUUGGGAAGAGCCACCAAACCACUUCCCAAGUGGAGGCCUCAUUCUGCACUCCCAGCAGCAAGUGAGAGUCCUGUUGCUCCAUGUGCUCUCCAGUACUUGGUGUUGUCAGUGAUUUGAAUUUUGGAACACGCUGAUGGAUUCAGUUCUUUUACCUGUGGAGGCCUGACUAUUGCAACACCAUUUGUUGAAAGGUGAUCUUUGAUCUGCUGUGUUGCCUUUGAUUCCCCACCAAAGAUCAGUGGACUGGAUUUUGGAAUUUGAGAAUUACUGAAAGACCCCCGAAGAGGUACUUUCGUAGAGGGAGACCCGCACCCAGGAAUCAGCGAGACCACGAACUUGGAUGCAAACUGCAAGAGGCUUUAUUGGAGAUACGGGUACCCGGGCGACUUAGCUUCUGUGAGGCCAAGCGCGCCGAGCCAAGGGAAAGGGGUCCUUAUAUAGGGAAAAAGGCGCAAGCUAGAAGCAGGGAUUCUAUUGGAUAAUUCUAAUGAGGCAUUGUACAGAGCUAUUCCCAUUGGUC